ACAGAAUAGGGAUGUUGGUGCCAUCUGACUGCUACAGCUGAUGGGGCAGGAAAAAGCACUGAGGGUGACUGACAGUGGAAAAAGUCCUCAAGAUUGAUGUCUUUCUUAUGGGAUAGCACAGCCAGCUGCAGGGUUGGAUUCCUCCAUCUCAGCCUGGAUGGUUGAGAUGGGGAGCAUCUGUGCGGCUCAUCCUGGCCCCCCAAAGGCCUCGUUUUGUCUGGCAGUUGGUUUGUUUGCUGACUGCUCCAUUGCUGUGGGUUAGGAGCACAGAGCAGAGUAGCCGUGGGGAGAGAAGCAGUCUGAAAUCUGUUCCCAGAUGGUGAUGGCCGGGGAUGUUUGAUGCCCAGAAAACACUGUGGUGUGUUAGAGAUGCUUCUGAGUAGCCCAUGCUGGUGUUUAGGAUUCGGCUGAUGUUGGGCUCAGCUGAAAAAUGUCAGCAGUGAAGGAGAGCAGCAUCUCCAGCUCGCAGCCAAGUCCUGCUGUGAGAAUCUCCCAUUUGGGGUGCUGGAGUUGCUCACGUGCCCACCAAGGCACAGUGGUGAGCGAUCCACUCCCAGCAGCUUGGGCAAGGGGAGGACAAGGCAGGAGGAACCCCAGAGCACCACGGGGAAGUUCAUGCUGCUGAGACCUGCUUUGGAGCUGCUCCCACCGCCUGCUUCAUCGCACUGCUGAGGACGUUCAUCCUCCUCUGCCUUGGUGCAGGAGCUGCAUGUGCCAGUGACACCAACAUGAGCUGCCAAAACACCAAACACCAACAGCCAGUCCUGCCCGGGUGAGCGGAGCACGAGGACACACCAUCUCCUCCCCAUAACUUGGCACUCUGAGGUUAGCGAGAGCGUUCUCAGAGCAAACCCCAUCCUACACGAGCCGUUGCUGGUGAGACCCACCUGCGUGCGCUGCGCUGUGGAGCAGGAUCAGCACUGCCAUCCAGGCUCUGCCUGUGCCCGAUGCACAAAACCGUGUGUUUGAGGAAGUACUUCUGGAGUUUGAAAAGAUGUCUGAAACGCUCCCGGUGGGCUUGGUGCCUCGCUGCAGUAAACACAGGGGGGAGCUGGAAGAAGUGGGGAGAGCCGUGAUGUCUUCCAGGAGCUGUCUCAGGAGAGGGACUGGACCAGCCUGAAGGCCACCAGAGCCAAAGCCCAGCAGCACAGCUUGGGACACAAGCAUCCCACACGCGGGACUAUUUUGAUGGAGCCGGAGAAGUGAUGACACAAAUAGCUGAUGACACAAAUAGUUCUGCUGGCGGAGCAGCAGAGGUGGCAACCUCUGGAUGGGAGCCAUGAGCAGCAGCUGCAGACAGGCACCUCUUCAUGGAGCUGGAACAGGAUGCACAGCCCAGGGCUCCUGUCACCAUCCCACCAGUAUCACCAGGAAAGCUGUGACCCGGAUGAGCCGUUCAGUCUCCUUCCUGCACAAUAGUUCUGCCUUCUGCCAGCUCUUGCCCUGAAAAGCUGCAGGUUGGCGGGCUGAGCCAAAUUUUGACCACUGAGCCAUUGCUGUUGCUGGUUUGAAGAUCUUGGCUGGUCCUCACAGAGCCAUGUGAUUUAAUAGUGGUAAAAGCGACUGUUGCAUGAAAAAUUGAAGCAGCCUAUGCCACACCAAAUGCUGAACAUUGCUGCCAUUUGGGAUAAUACUGGGAAAAGAGUGAACUGAUCGGUCACGUCCUGAAAGAUGGUCUACUUCUCAGUGAGACUUUGUGCCAGAUGGCAUCUGGGGCUGAGCGUCUUGGCAUCUUUCAGCCAAAGGAAUUGCUCCGCGCUUCACCUUCAAGCCUGUGCUUGUGCCACAGCUUUGGCAAUGUUUUCUGCUCAACGCUCCGUUAUCUAGAAUGGCAGUGAAACCAUGGAGCCCAAAAGGGAGAAGCAUCCCAUCAUCUGCGUGAGUGACUUGGGAAUGGAAGGUGAAGGAGGUGAAGGGCAGAGUUCCCACCCGGAAAGGAUUUUCAAGAUUUGAAAAAAUCAAAACAGCCCCCAGUGUUCCCCUUAUCUAUCAAUUAAAAUCAAACUAGUUUCUUUUUUAUCAAGAUUGAGAGAUGCCACAC
ensembl:lncRNA